GGGUUGUGAGGUUAAGCGACUAAGCGUACACGGUGGAUGCCCUGGCAGUCAGAGGCGAUGAAGGACGUGCUAAUCUGCGAAAAGCGUCGGUAAGGUGAUAUGAACCGUUAUAACCGGCGAUGUCCGAAUGGGGAAACCCAGUGCAAUUCGUUGCACUAUCGUUAACUGAAUACAUAGGUUAACGAGGCGAACCGGGGGAACUGAAACAUCUAAGUACCCCGAGGAAAAGAAAUCAACCGAGAUUCCCCCAGUAGCGGCGAGCGAACGGGGAGCAGCCCAGAGUCUGAAUCAGCUUGUGUGUUAGUGGAACGGUCUGGAAAGUCCGACGGUACAGGGUGAUAGUCCCGUACACCAAAAUGCACAGGCUGUGAACUCGAAGAGUAGGGCGGGACACGUGGUAUCCUGUCUGAAUAUGGGGGGACCAUCCUCCAAGGCUAAAUACUCCUGACUGACCGAUAGUGAACCAGUACCGUGAGGGAAAGGCGAAAAGAACCCCGGCGAGGGGAGUGAAAAAGAACCUGAAACCGUGUACGUACAAGCAGUGGGAGCACCUUCGGGUGUGACUGCGUACCUUUUGUAUAAUGGGUCAGCGACUUAUAUUCUGUAGCAAGGUUAACCGUAUAGGGGAGCCGCAGGGAAACCGAGUCUUAACUGGGCGUUAAGUUGCAGGGUAUAGACCCGAAACCCGGUGAUCUAGCCAUGGGCAGGUUGAAGGUUGGGUAACACUAACUGGAGGACCGAACCGACUAAUGUUGAAAAAUUAGCGGAUGACUUGUGGCUGGGGGUGAAAGGCCAAUCAAACCGGGAGAUAGCUGGUUCUCCCCGAAAGCUAUUUAGGUAGCGCCUCGUGAACUCAUCUUCGGGGGUAGAGCACUGUUUCGGCUAGGGGGUCAUCCCGACUUACCAACCCGAUGCAAACUACGAAUACCGAAGAAUGUUAUCACGGGAGACACACGGCGGGUGCUAACGUCCGUCGUGAAGAGGGAAACAACCCAGACCGCCAGCUAAGGUCCCAAAGUCAUGGUUAAGUGGGAAACGAUGUGGGAAGGCACAGACAGCCAGGAUGUUGGCUUAGAAGCAGCCAUCAUUUAAAGAAAGCGUAAUAGCUCACUGGUCGAGUCGGCCUGCGCGGAAGAUGUAACGGGGCUAAACCAUGCACCGAAGCUGCGGCAGCGACACUAUGUGUUGUUGGGUAGGGGAGCGUUCUGUAAGCCUGCGAAGGUGUGCUGUGAGGCAUGCUGGAGGUAUCAGAAGUGCGAAUGCUGACAUAAGUAACGAUAAAGCGGGUGAAAAGCCCGCUCGCCGGAAGACCAAGGGUUCCUGUCCAACGUUAAUCGGGGCAGGGUGAGUCGACCCCUAAGGCGAGGCCGAAAGGCGUAGUCGAUGGGAAACAGGUUAAUAUUCCUGUACUUGGUGUUACUGCGAAGGGGGGACGGAGAAGGCUAUGUUAGCCGGGCGACGGUUGUCCCGGUUUAAGCAUGUAGGCUGAUUGUCCAGGCAAAUCCGGAUAAUCAAGGCUGAGGUGUGAUGACGAGGCACUACGGUGCUGAAGUAACAAAUGCCCUGCUUCCAGGAAAAGCCUCUAAGCAUCAGGUAACAUCAAAUCGUACCCCAAACCGACACAGGUGGUCAGGUAGAGAAUACCAAGGCGCUUGAGAGAACUCGGGUGAAGGAACUAGGCAAAAUGGUGCCGUAACUUCGGGAGAAGGCACGCUGGUGUGUAGGUGAAGUCCCUGCGGAUGGAGCUGAGACCAGUCGAAGAUACCAGCUGGCUGCAACUGUUUAUUAAAAACACAGCACUGUGCAAACACGAAAGUGGACGUAUACGGUGUGACGCCUGCCCGGUGCCGGAAGGUUAAUUGAUGGGGUUAUCCGUAAGGAGAAGCUCUUGAUCGAAGCCCCGGUAAACGGCGGCCGUAACUAUAACGGUCCUAAGGUAGCGAAAUUCCUUGUCGGGUAAGUUCCGACCUGCACGAAUGGCGUAAUGAUGGCCAGGCUGUCUCCACCCGAGACUCAGUGAAAUUGAACUCGCUGUGAAGAUGCAGUGUACCCGCGGCAAGACGGAAAGACCCCGUGAACCUUUACUAUAGCUUGACACUGAACAUUGAGCCUUGAUGUGUAGGAUAGGUGGGAGGCUUUGAAGCGUGGACGCCAGUCUGCGUGGAGCCAACCUUGAAAUACCACCCUUUAAUGUUUGAUGUUCUAACGUUGGCCCCUGACCGGGGUUGCGGACAGUGUCUGGUGGGUAGUUUGACUGGGGCGGUCUCCUCCCAAAGCGUAACGGAGGAGCACGAAGGUUAGCUAAUCCUGGUCGGACAUCAGGAGGUUAGUGCAAUGGCAUAAGCUAGCUUGACUGCGAGCGUGACGGCGCGAGCAGGUGCGAAAGCAGGUCAUAGUGAUCCGGUGGUUCUGAAUGGAAGGGCCAUCGCUCAACGGAUAAAAGGUACUCCGGGGAUAACAGGCUGAUACCGCCCAAGAGUUCAUAUCGACGGCGGUGUUUGGCACCUCGAUGUCGGCUCAUCACAUCCUGGGGCUGAAGUAGGUCCCAAGGGUAUGGCUGUUCGCCAUUUAAAGUGGUACGCGAGCUGGGUUUAGAACGUCGUGAGACAGUUCGGUCCCUAUCUGCCGUGGGCGCUGGAGAAUUGAGGGGGGCUGCUCCUAGUACGAGAGGACCGGAGUGGACGCAUCACUGGUGUUCGGGUUGUCAUGCCAAUGGCACUGCCCGGUAGCU
rnacentral:rRNA from 1 species